rfam:Pseudomonas syringae pv. phaseolicola 1448A, complete genome.
UGUGCCAACGGACAGGCACAGGCCAUCAAGGACGACGGUCAAGGACAUCGCGGGAUGCGAUUCAUCAGGAUGAUGACCAGGGAAUACAGGGAUCAGGGAUAAAAUGUGGGCGGGUCAUACCGCCCCUUUUUUU